rnacentral:tRNA from 1 species
GCGGAAUUAACUCAGUGGUAGAGUGUUUCCUUGACGUGGAAGAAGUCGUGGGUUCGAGUCCCUCAUUCCGCACCA